CUCGUCUGCCAGUCUCAGUCUGAGAACCCUCCGCGGCUCCGCCCCCUCCAAACGAGUCAAAACACCUCAAGGCCGCGUCCUCUUGCUUCACCGGCGACUCUCCCUGAGACCUCCCCCCCCCCCCCCGCUCCUGGUUCAUCUCCCAAGUCUUGCCACAAGGACGGAGGGGGAGAGAGAAGGAGCUUACCCAGUUCGGAGCCGCACUGGAAGGCUGAAGGAAGAAAAACAGAUCCUCCUACCUGCGCGCUACAAACCAAUCUGGUCUCCGCACCCAGCCUGCCAACGCAAUUUCAGCCCUUUCCCGCAAGCACGCGAACGAAACUUGCUGAGCCCCAGGUUUCUAUUGGCCAAUUCUACCUGGCGUUUGGGAAAUGGUUCGAGAAGCACCAGUUACAGACAUCACAGGAGGCUUGUUUGGGUUUCUGUCGUAGCAAAACCUGCAGUUUCCGGAAGACAACCUUGUAAGUAACACAAAAAGCUGGACCAGCAGGCAUGAAGUUAGAACCAAGCCAUCAAUUCGAUGGAAGAAGAGUGAGUUAGAUGACCUAUUUAAGCUGUUCAAACACAGAAGGGGAUCUACAGUUGAAGAGGACCACCUCCAAGGAAUUCCACAUGCAGGACCAGUGCCUGACAGAGGAGGAAGAUGAGAGAAUUCUAGAGGAUUCUGGAUCAUUAAUUAGACAAAAUGUUCAGUAUUUCCUGCCUGAAGAGGUCCUCUGCUAUGCAGUACAUGUGCUGCUUUUUUGGCUGAUUGAAGAAUAUUGAUGAACAGACGCAUGUAGCACCAGAGGAACACACUGAACUACCGGCUAUCACCUUUGCAGUGGAAAAUAACAGUUCUGUGGAUAAGUGGAACUAUUUUGGGUGAGCAAUCUAAAAAGAUUUUUGACUUUUGAAUAAAACUAUGCCAGGUUACAGGCUGCUUGGCAAAACUGUUCAGUGUCAAGAAUAGUUUGUCAUGUGGUAUGAGGAGCUGCUGUUCAUGAAACUCCAGCCUAGUGUUUGUGGCUGGUUGGCCUACAGUUUCAUGUAAAAAUCAAAAUAAAUGAUAAUACAGUAAA